rnacentral:rRNA from 1 species
AUAUCAAUAAGCGGAGGAAAAGAAACCAACAGGGAUUGCCUCAGUAACGGCGAGUGAAGCGGCAACAGCUCAAAUUUGAAAUCUGCCUCUAGGCCGAGUUGUAAUUUGUAGAAGAUGCUUCGGGUGUGGCACUGGUCUAAGUUCCUUGGAACAGGACGUCAUAGAGGGUGAGAAUCCCGUAUGUGACUGGCUGCCUUCGCCCAUGUGAAGCUCUUUCGACGAGUCGAGUUGUUUGGGAAUGCAGCUCAAAAUGGGUGGUAAAUUUCAUCUAAAGCUAAAUACCGGCCAGAGACCGAUAGCGCACAAGUAGAGUGAUCGAAAGAUGAAAAGCACUUUGAAAAGAGAGUUAAAAAGUAUGUGAAAUUGUUGAAAGGGAAGCGCUUGCGACCAGACUUGCGCUGGACGGUUCCCCCUUCGUUUUCGUUGGGUCAUUCCGUCCUGUCCAGGCCAACAUCGGUUCGGGUGGUUGGUUAAAGGCUUCGGGAACGUAUCUACCCUUCGGGGUCGACUUAUAGCCCGGGGUGUCAUGCGGCCUACCUGGACCGAGGAACGCGCUUCGGCUCGGAUGUUGGCGUAAUGGUCGUCAGCGG